AUGGCAGGCUUUGCAUCUGGAUCCUGCAGGUCUCUGCACAGCCCCUGCUUUUCGGUUUGUCUUUUCUCAGCUUGCUGCUUUUGCUGGGGGGAAGAAGUGUUAAGGAGGAGCAUCAUACCAACAGCAAUUAGUGCAAAUGCAAAGCUCUGGGAUGAACUGCUGUGCAUGCCUGCUGCAGAGCAGCAGCCACCAGCCUCUGCAGACUCCUGUGCUUCAGUCAGCUUGUGUUUUUCCCCCAUACAUUUGACCUGCUGCCUACCAAGUACUUCAUAUGGAUAUUCGUACCCAGAGCAGUCCCAGUCGUGUGAGUGGCCUUUUCUCAGCACAGGAAAGUACAAAGACAUCUGCUGGCAUGGAAUACCACAUGGAAGAGAUUUUCCAGAGGUCUCCAGCACAGCCUUAGUGCCCGCAGCUUUUUGUUGAAUCUCAGAAAGCCCACGCGUCCUGAAAAAUAGGGAUGGCACCAGCUUGCUUCAGCAUCUCUAUUCCUCAUACAGCAGUGAGAAUGUUUGCUAUCUUCUUAA
rnacentral:lncRNA from 1 species